AUUUCAGGACUGGGUCUUUGUCAUCUCUGUCCCUGUUCCCCUCCCCGCCCCAGGCUAGCACAGAGCAAGGUGCCCAAUGGAUGUUCCUUCCAUGAAGGCCAUCCUGCCUUUCCACAGCACAGGGUGAUGGCGAAGAGUACAAGCUGCGUGCAUCCAAGUCCCAAGGCUCUCACGUACCACUGUAUGACCUUGGGCAAGUUACCUGACCUCUCUGUACCAAACCAGGGAGAAUAAUAGCACAUGCCUUGUAGGGACAUGGCAAUAAUUAAGUGCACCAAUAUUUAUAAAACUCUUCCAGAUGUCCGGGACAUUGUGAGAAUAUUUAAGUGUCUGAUAAAUGAAGACAUAACAAAAUAUUUUCCACCUGAGCAGCUGAGGGCAAGGUUUAGUCCUGUUUUUUGGACCACCAUCUCCUGAGUCAGGAGUCAGCAGAUUUUGUAAGUGGCAUUUUGUGCGUGUGUCUUUUUUAAGGGCCACACCUGCCGCAUAUGGAAGUUCCCAGACUAGGGGUUGAAUCAGAGCUGCAGCUGCUAGCCCACACCACAGCCACUCAUUGCCAUGAGCUGUGGUGUAGAUCACGGACAUGGCUCAGAUCCUGUGUUGCUGUGGCGGUGGUGUAGGCUGGCAGCUGUAGCUCCAUUUCGACCCCUAGGCUGGGAACCUCCAUAUGCUGAGGGUGCGGCCCUAAAAAGAAAAAGAAAAGAAAAUAGCCCCAGCCUUUGACCAGGUUGACCCAGUUACAGUAAUGAAGCGACCCAUCUGGGAGUUCACUGUCAUCUAUAGCUGACCACCCCCAAACUCAGAUUUAUCUUAUUUAUUUAAUAUUUUUAAAAAUAUUUGUUCUUUUUUGGCUGCCCCGAGGCAUAUGGAGCUCCCGAGCCAGCAAUCAGAUCUGAGCUGCAGUUUCAACCUACACUACAGCUGCAAGCAAUGCCAGAUUCUUAACCCAUUGUGCCAGGAAGGGAAUUGAACCCAUGCCCCCGGGUUUCAGAGAUGCUGCCAAUCCCAUUGCACCCCAGUGGGAACUCCAAACUCAGAUUUACAAUAAUAAACAGUUUUUUUGCACACAAGUGUCAAGAACUGUGAAGAAUCUAAGGUAUUAUCCUAUUUCCAAGUUACUGAGUGAGCCAGCUGGUUUCAUGGGGGCCGGGAGGAGACAUGCAUCUUCUGGAUCCAAGAGGAAGGGUGGUUUAUUAAUCUCAGCAUUGGCAGUUGUCAGAACACCAGCAUUUGCCCCAGUUCUUAACGUUCUGAUUCUCACCCAGCAACACAGUUGGGACAGGGGGUACCUGCACACACAGCAGCUUACACAAAAAUGCACCACAGUCCAUUCAAGGUGGAUUGUGGACGUAAAUGCAAAAGGUAAAAUAGUAAAGCUUCCAGGAGAGCAACUUGAGACAGACAAAGAAAUUAAUGAUUUGGCCUCGAUUUCCAGUCCAAGCAGCUGCUUGAGAGGUCGGACCAAGGCAAGACCGCCUCGCUGAGCAGCAGAGCCGCCCAGGGCCCCUGGGUCUGUACCUUCUUUCAUCCAGUCAUUCAUCCCAAGUUUAUUAAGAGUCAACUAUGGCCAAGGCUAACAGCAAUGAAAAAACAAAGACAUGAACCGCCAAUGAAAAAUGGAUUAGACUUCAUUACGAGUAUAAUUUGGGGGCAGAGCCUCCUUGCCUGUCAAAAAAAAAAAAAGUAUAUUUGGGAGUUCCCAUUGUGGCUCAGCGAGUUAAGGACCUGACACAGUAUCCAUGAGGUCCAUGAGGACAUGUUCUGAUCCCUGGCCUUGGUCAGUGGGUUAAGCAUCCGGUGUUGCUAUGGCUGUGGUGUAUGCCUGCAGCUGCAGUUCUGAUUCAACCUCUAGCCUGGGAACUUCACAUUUGCUGAGUUUUACUAUAACGCUAAAAUUUCUGAAAACUUGUGGCUAAAGCUUUGGUGCCAGAUCAGUGACCAGGAUCAGUAGGGCUGGUUCGCCUGGCAUCUGGAAGCCAGCUUUAGCUUCCAGGUCCCUUAAGGCUGCUGGCACCAUUAAAGGCUGCAUUUCCCAGAGCAUCAGGCUAAUCAAAGCCAGCCGUAGCCAUUCCUCUCCCUGCCCCAAGCUUACCAUUACUGAUCUCAAGAGUGCCCCAUUGCCCCCUGAUCAGCCAUGCCAGUGCCAUAUGCUGCAGGUGCGGCCGUAAAAAGAAAAAUAAAUAAAAACAAAUGUUUAGAGUUCCUAUCGUGGAGCAGCGGAAACAAAUCCAAGUAAGAACCAUGAGGUUCUGGAUUCCAUCCCUGGUCUCGCUCAGUGUGUUAAGGAUCCGGUGUUGCUGUGAGCUGUGGUGUAGGUUGCAGACAAAUCUCGGAUCCUGCGUUGCUGUGGCUCUGGUGUAGGUCGGCAGCUGUAGCUCCGAUUAGACUCCUAGCCUAGGAACCUCCAU
rnacentral:lncRNA from 1 species